AAAAGCUCACUCAAUCAAAGGUCACAUGAUUUUCUUAGGGUUUUCUUUCAACCGAAUCCCUUUUGUUUUUUUCCAAAAAACACGUCGCUGAAUCCAUCGUCAAAUCAUCCACCUAUCGCUUUCUCCUUCUUCAAUUUCUCCAUGCCAACUAACGAUGGGUUCAACAACGACGAUGCGGAACAUCUGUUUCAGAUCUAAGGUGACAAAAGCUCCAGGUAUCAAAUACCAGAUGUUCUUCUCAGAUUUGGAUUUGAUUUUCGAUUUUGAUUUCUCAAACACCUUACCGAACAACAACAACAUCAUACGUAAGUGAAUUUGACCAAUUUGAAUAUAGAAACUCAACUUUGACACUGUUGUGGAAUUAGUUACAGUUCUUUGUAUCUCUAAAACUAUUUGGUCAUUGAUUCUAUUGCAAAAUACUGAGUUACUUAUGCAUCUCUAAAGCUAUUUGGUUAUCAUGCAAAAUACUAGAUUUGUUGGUCCUUCAUAGGUAUAUUUUAUUUUAAUCAACAUAAUUUACUAUAUUAUGCAUACCACUUAAAUUUGGUGACAACAAUUUGGUUAUAAUAUACUACUUAUAGUUAGCUAUGCCAUUGUUGAGGUCACAACUUUCUAUCUUGAAACUUUACUAUGGUAUUGCUUGAUUGAUAUGUCCUUUGAAUAAAUGUUGUUGAAUGUUUAUAGUUUACCUGGUGGCUUAUCAUAUUGUGCUUUCUUCAUUAAUUAAUCCAUCCCUUUUUCAUUAUCCCUGCAUAUUCCCUCUAAAAGAAAAGAAACCCUAACUUUGUCUCUUUGUGCGAAUCUUGUAAUCCCAUUAUUGACGCAAUCCCGCCAACAAAGCUGACCAACAACUCCCAUUCGUUGAGGAAACAACCUUCAAGAAGAAACCUCUUCCGCAGGAAGAUGACGAUGCUCCUAUUGUUGAAGACAACAAAGACGAAUCUGACGACUAAGAAGACGAAGCUCAAGGUGGAACUGAAGGCUCUAGGCAAAGCAGAAGUGAGAAGAGUCGAAAAGCAAUGUUGAAGCUGAGACUAAAUUUAUUGGUUCGUAGCUUUCAUCACUCCUCCCCAACAGUUUGUCGUCCUCAACUUUUCUGCCACCAUACAUCCCCAAAAUUUAUUGGUUGUCACUGAAGAUUUGGAAGGAUCUUCACCAAAUAGGUUUUUUCGGUGUAGACUUUACUCUCGAUUUGUUAGACAUAUAUUUGAUUUGUUUUUCUUAGUGUUAUUGUUGUAUAACAUAAUGGUUGCCAAUCUCUUGAGAUUCUUAAAAUUUACACCAAAUAAGUUUAGUUUGUUUGUUGGUUGAGAUAUUGUGUUUGUCACUUUGUAUGACUAUUGAUUUUAUGGAUUUGUAUGUGUGGUU